rnacentral:lncRNA from 1 species
UUCGUCAAAGUGGAGAUUGUUAGAAUAAGUGGCUCAUAUUAAGUGGUAUUCUUAUUUGAGUGGUACACUGGUAUUCUAACGGAGCGGAGCGAAGCGACGAGAUAUAUUUAUCUUUGGGAUAAUUAUGUAAUAUUUUAUUUUACCAGGGAUGCUGAUAGGGAUUGGGACUCCAGGGUUAGGGUUUAGCUAUAAAUAUCUUGUAACCCUUGUUAUUUUGGUGAUAGUGAAAGUUACGGCCGUUUCGCUCCCGUGGACGUAGGCACAUUGCCGAACCACGUAAAUCCCUGUGUUCUCUUUUCUUCUUCCUCUUCCUCUCUCAACUCUGUGCAUUGUUCUGUUCGCCGUUUGGAUCCUGUAUUUUCCGCAACA